rnacentral:tRNA from 1 species
GCUGUGGCUCAGUGGUAGAGCACUUGCUUUGAAUGCAGAAGGUCCCAAGUUCAAUCCCUGGCAUCUCCA